rnacentral:rRNA from 1 species
UACAGAGGGGGCAAGCGUUAUUCGGAAUUACUGGGCGUAAAGGGUGCGCAGGCGGUUUUGUAAGCCAGAUGUGAAAUCCCCGGGCUUAACCUGGGAAUGGCAUUUGGGACUGCAAGGCUCGAGUGCGGCAGAGGAGACUGGAAUUCCUGGUGUAGCAGUGAAAUGCGUAGAUAUCAGGAGGAACACCGGUGGCGAAGGCGGGGUCUCUGGGCAGUAACUGACGCUGAGGAGCGAAAGCGUGGGGAGCGAACAGG